rnacentral:rRNA from 1 species
CCUACGGGAGGCUGCAGUGGGGAAUAUUGGACAAUGGGCGAAAGCCUGAUCCAGCCAUGCCGCGUGUGUGAAGAAGGCCUUCGGGUUGUAAAGCACUUUCAGUGGGGAAGAAAGCCUUGGGGCUAAUACCCUCGAGGAAGGACAUCACCCACAGAAGAAGCACCGGCUAACUCCGUGCCAGCAGCCGCGGUAAUACGGAGGGUGCGAGCGUUAAUCGGAAUUACUGGGCGUAAAGCGCGCGUAGGCGGUCUGAUAAGCCGGUUGUGAAAGCCCCGGGCUCAACCUGGGAACGGCAUCCGGAACUGUCAGGCUAGAGUGCAGGAGAGGAAGGUAGAAUUCCCGGUGUAGCGGUGAAAUGCGUAGAGAUCGGGAGGAAUACCAGUGGCGAAGGCGGCCUUCUGGACUGACACUGACGCUGAGGUGCGAAAGCGUGGGUAGCAAACAGGAUUAGAUACCCCAGUAGU